rnacentral:rRNA from 1 species
CAUCCUACGGGACGCAGCAGUGGGGAAUAUUGGGCAAUGGGCGCAAGCCUGACCCAGCAACGCCGCGUGAAGGAAGAAGGCUUUCGGGUUGUAAACUUCUUUUAUCAGGGACGAAACAAAUAACGGUACCUGAUGAAUAAGCCACGGCUAACUACGUGCCAGCAGCCGCGGUAAUACGUAGGUGGCAAGCGUUCUCCGGAUUUACUGGGUGUAAAGGGCGUGUAGGCGGGCUUGCAAGUCAGAUGUGGAAUUCCAUGGCUCAACCGUGGAACUGCAUUUGAAACUGUAGGUCUUGAGUGUUGGAG